GUUGAACAGAAGGUGUUGAAUAGGAGUUGAAUAGAAGGUGUUGAAUAGGUGUUGAAUAGAAGGUGUUGAAUAGGAGUUGAAUAGAAGGAGUUGAAUAGAAGGAGUUGAAUAGAAGGAGUUGAAUAGAAGGUGUUGAAUAGAAGGAGUUGAAUAGAAGGAGUUGAAUAGAAGGAGUUGAAUAGAAGGAGUUGAAUAGAAGGAGUUGAAUAGAAGGAGUUGAAUAGAAGGAGUUGAAUAGAAGGUGUUGAAUAGAAGGUGUUGAAUAGAAGGUGUUGAAUAGAAGGAGUUGAAUAGAAGGAGUUGAAUAGAAGGUGUUGAAUAGAAGGAGUUGAAUAGAAGGAGUUGAAUAGAAGGUGUUGAAUAGAAGGUGUUGAAUAGAAGGUGUUGAAUAGAAGGUGUUGAAUAGAAGGUGUUGAAUAGAAGGUGUUGAAUAGAAGGUGUUGAAUAGAAGGUGUUGAAUAGAAGGUGUUGAAUAGAAGGAGUUGAAUAGAAGGUGUUGAAUAGAAGGAGUUGAAUAGAAGGUGUUGAAUAGAAGGUGUUGAAUAGAAGGUGUUGAAUAGAAGGUGUUGAAUAG